rnacentral:rRNA from 1 species
AUUGAACGCUAGCGGGAUGCCUUACACAUGCAAGUCGAACGGCAGCGCGGACUUCGGUCUGGCGGCGAGUGGCGAACGGGUGAGUAAUGUAUCGGAGCGUGCCCAGUAGCGGGGGAUAACUACUCGAAAGAGUAGCUAAUACCGCAUACGCCCUACGAGGGAAAGGGGGGGAUCGCAAGACCUCUCACUAUUGGAGCGGCCGAUAUCGGAUUAGCUAGUUGGUGAGGUAAAGGCUCACCAAGGCGACGAUCCGUAGCUGGUUUGAGAGGACGACCAGCCACACUGGGACUGAGACACGGCCCAGACUCCUACGGGAGGCAGCAGUGGGGAAUUUUGGACAAUGGGGGAAACCCUGAUCCAGCCAUUCCGCGUGUGCGAUGAAGGCCUUCGGGUUGUAAAGCACUUUUGGCAGGAAAGAAAUCGCAUCAAUUAAUACUUGGUGUGGAUGACGGUACCUGCAGAAUAAGCACCGGCUAACUACGUGCCAGCAGCCGCAGUAA